rnacentral:rRNA from 1 species
GACGAACGCUGGCGGCGUGCUUAACACAUGCAAGUCGAACGGAAAGGCCCUGCUUUUGUGGGGUGCUCGAGUGGCGAACGGGUGAGUAACACGUGAGUAACCUGCCCUUGACUUUGGGAUAACUUCAGGAAACUGGGGCUAAUACCGUAUAGGAGCUCCUGCUGCAUGGUGGGGGUUGGAAAGUUUCGGCGGUUGGGGAUGUACUCGCGGCUUAUCAGCUUGUUGGUGGGGUAGUUGCUUACCAAGGCUUUGACGGGUAGCCGGCAUGAGAGGGUGACCGGCGAAAUUGGGACUGAGAUACGGCCCAGACUCCUACGGGAGGCAGCAGUGGGGAAUAUUGCACAAUGGGCGGAAGCCUGAUGCAGCAACGCCGCGUGCGGGAUGACGGCCUUCGGGUUGUAAAACGAUUUCGCAUGUGACGAAGCGUGAGUGACGGUAAUGGGUAAAGAAGCACCGGCUAACUACGUG